ensembl:snoRNA U3 Small nucleolar RNA U3
CAGACCUCAUUUUCAGGGAUCGUUUCUAUACUUGGCUACUGCGGAAGUCGAGAGCCUCAGAAACCGCGAGGAAGGUGCCGCGUUCUCUCCCGAGUGUGAAGCCAGAUCUCGGUGUUGCUUCUGCAACUGCCAUUUGUCAUCCAUAAUUGUCCUUCUCUUCCUCUGGGAGAAUGAGAGGAAGAGGAUGGUGCGGAGCGCU